GGAAUCUACCUAGUAGUAUGGGAUAGCCACUAGAAAUGGUGGGUAAUACUGUAUAAUCCCUGCGGGGGAAAGAUUUAUCGCUAUUAGAUGAGCCUAUGUUAGAUUAGCUAGUUGGUAGGGUAAAGGCCUACCAAGGCAGUGAUCUAUAGCUGGUCUGAGAGGAUGAUCAGCCACACUGGAACUGAGAUACGGUCCAGACUCCUACGGGAGGCAGCAGUGGGGAAUAUUGGACAAUGGGCGCAAGCCUGAUCCAGCUAUGCCGCGUGAGUGAGGAAGGCCUUAGGGUUGUAAAACUCUUUCAGUGGGGAAGAUAAUGACGGUACCCACAGAAGAAGUCCCGGCAAACUCCGUGCCAGCAGCCGCGGUAAUACGGAGGGGGCAAGCGUUGUUCGGAAUUAUUGGGCGUAAAGGGCAUGUAGGCGGUUCGGUAAGUUAAAGGUGAAAUGCCA
rnacentral:rRNA from 1 species